AGUCCAAUGGUAAAGAAUUGAAUGACUGACAAGUGGGGCCUGGGAUAAAAAUGGUUCUGUUAAAAUUAGGCUAAGAUUGCAAUAAGAAAAAUGAGCUUCCUUUUAAUGUCUGAAAUAGUUAGGAAUAAAAAUGCAGGAAAAGGGCACUUUUAUAUUUGAAUUGGUGUCACCUCUCAUGGAUAAAACCCCAUAGUGAGCAAUCACAGCAGAAGUGUGAAAGCCGGGAUCCUUUGACUUCCACAGUGAACUUAAUGUUCUUUUCCUCCUCUCUUUCAGGACAGGAGAAAUCAUUGAGCUCCGCCCAUCUUUGCCAGAAGCUUCAGUGUUUAAGCAGCCAGAGCCAAGAGGCUUCAGCACCAGGGGGUUGCACUGGAGGGCUCCUGGUCCUGCCCACGCUGUGGGUGAGCUAGGGCUGGCACAAGGACUCGUGCAGGUGCUGCUCUGGCACUGGAGCUGUUGCCCUGUGGAGCCAUUUUAAAGGUGUGAUUAUGGAACAUUUUGGAGGCUGUUUCUGGAAUUCCAUUUGUAGCUGGAUCUCACUCCGAGUGCAGCAGUCCAGGUGAGGGUUCUGACCUCUCCAGACUUGUGCUCACCUUGGUACAGCCCGGGGCUGGAGCAGUUUUCCAGGGAAGUGGAGAUGGCUGAGGAUGGGUGCUCUGGAAAGCAGGGUCCUGCUGGGAUUUGCUUUUGCAAAGCUGCCGUGAAGUUUGUAAAACCAGCAGGAAAUUCUAAUUCCUGUGGUUUUUGGGGAGGAGGUGCAGGUCACCCUGAGAGCUAGACCAGAACUGGUUUGUGGUAAGGAGUCUGAGGUGUGUAAGUGCCACAGUUGGUAUGAGCUGUGUGCUAAAUGCAGUCCCAGCCCCAGAGGGAGGCUGAUGGGCUCUGCUCAUUGCUGUCCCCAGCUGUCCCCAGCCCGCUGCUCCCCCGUGGAUCUGCUCUGGAUUCGGGCUGUCGGUGCUGGAGCGCCCUGCUCCCUGCAGGGCCCUGCCUCUAACCUGACACAGAGAGAGUCCAAAGUUAUCUUUUUUCAUUUUUUUAUCACUGUGCUGUUAGCAAGGAAGGGAUGGGAGUGCUCUUGGGCUGGGAUCGAGUCACUGCUCAGAUAAACAUCAGCCUCGGAGGCCAUGAGGGUUUAAAGAGCAAGCAGCUGGCUGUAGCUCAGCAGCAGUCACAAGUUCUUUGUUCCAAGGCAGGCCAGAACUUUCUAACCUCGGGGUUUAUUUGGCUUUUCGAACCCAUCACCUCUGCUCAGUUCUGCCGCACUGAGGGUACUUUUGUUCAAUGCCUUCUGUUGGAACUUGUCAGCUCUCAGUGUAGCGCACACAGCCCCAGCCCUGCCCUGCAAACCCUUCCCCAUCGUGCCCACACAGUUUCCUCUCUCACUCACUCGGGGCAGGUUCUUACUGACAGC